rnacentral:rRNA from 1 species
GUAGGUGGCAAGCGUUGUCCGGAAUUAUUGGGCGUAAAGCGCGCGCAGGCGGUUCUUUAAGUCUGAUGUGAAAGCCCACGGCUCAACCGUGGAGGGUCAUUGGAAACUGGAGAACUUGAGUACAGAAGAGGAAAGCGGAAUUCCACGUGUAGCGGUGAAAUGCGUAGAGAUGUGGAGGAACACCAGUGGCGAAGGCGGCUUUCUGGUCUGUAACUGACGCUGAGGCGCGAAAGCGUGGGGAGCAAACAGGGAUUAGAUACCCUGGUAGUCCACGCCGUAAACGAUGAGUGCUAAGUGUUAGGGGUUUCCCGCCCCUUAGUGCUGCAGCUAACGCAUUAAGCACUCCGCCUGGGGAGUACGCCGCAAGGCUG